ACUCUGCAAGGUCCAUGGGAGCAGGGACACUUCCAGUCUGUCUCCUUUCCCACUCCUGCUUCCUUCCAUCAGCAAUAGAGCCCCUGUACCAGCACAACGCCUACCACACCACGGUAGGUGCUUCACGGAUACCUGGUGUGGAGAAUCGACCUCAUAAACUAGGAAGGCUGGGUGGCCGUCUGCACACCAGGAAGACAGCCCUCACCAGGACACUGAAUCAGCCAGCACCUUGAUCUGGGACCUACCAGCCUUCAGAUCUAAGCCCCACGGAAAUGGGAAUAAAGAAGGUAUGAAAUCGCAAGAGCAAAGAGAACAGGUGACGCUGUGACAGCCAACAGAGAGCUCGACAUUUAGGAAAAUGGAAGAUGCACGGAUGAGCAGUGACAGAGCUCCAGAGAUUCCAGCUGGAGGAGCUAAAGUGGAGCCCUGAACCGAAUGGGACUCUGGACAAGCCUAAAGACAUGCCCAGAUUUCCAGCCUGGUGCAGAGAUUGCACAAAACUGGCGCUGAAAUUCACAAACAAAUCUCGAGGGGACUGGAAUUUGGCAGCCGCUCCCUCUUUUGAAAAAGAAAGAGCACAGCUCAACAAAAACCUGCAAAAGGCUGAAGACAGAAUAUGAGAACCUGUCAUCCAGAAUGAAGGCUGCUGGGAAGCGUGACAAACUCACGAGAGAGUUUGCAUCUAACCCCGCUGAGGUCAACCAGCAGCUCUGCCCCUGCUUUCUGCUUCAUUCAUUCAGAAAGAAUUCACAAAGUAGCUAAUAGUUCACAACAUAUGCCACCGCCCGAUCAGCAUCUCUUACGGACCAGGCUCAGCACGAUGCUUACACGUGUUAUGUCCAUUAUCGAGUUAAUCCAUCAUCACAACUCCUUAAAGUGGCUGUGUGGCCCCCACUUCCCAGUACAGAUUAAGACACCAAGCUCACCCCACUCAAUUAACCCAAGGUUUGAAUCUACAUUUGUUUAACUUCAAAACCUUUCCACCAACCAAAUUACCACUCCCCACCCAUUGGCAACCUAGAAACAGAAAGCACAAGGAGCUUGGAGGUCAAGAAGGCUAAACACAAGAGACAACUAGAAAAAUGGAAUUUAACGUACGAACACGUUUGGAUUGCAGAUACGUGGUCAACAUGUGUCCUCGAGACAAUGAGAGCAUAAGUGACAAUGAGAAGAUGGCAUUAUUUACGUGAGAUUUUAAACUUAUUUUUUAUUUUUUUGCUUUUCCCCCUCAGGUUAUAUUUUAUUUUAUUUUUUGUUAUUUAUUUAUUUAGCUUUUUUUAAAAAAUUUACAAUGUUGUAUUAGUUUCUGGUGUAAUUUCUGUGAGAGGCAGAGAGUAGGGCAGAACUGAAGGCUAAAUCUCUGCGGCCAAGAGGAUACGACACAAACAGAGAUGCAGAAGUGACACAAUGGGAGGCAUGGACUGGGACCCGGAGGGGAUGGAUUCGCUGCCGUGGGUGCUUUGAGAGAAAUAAAGAGUGAGGGGCUUCACUCUCACGAGGCUGACUGUCUUAAGGGGACAUCUUAGAAUUAAAUUUGGUAUUGGAAAGCAAAACAAGAAAACCCGUUUUACACACUGGGGCACAAAGUAUCUAAUUUGAGCUCAGAUUUCUGGGCCGCACGUUUUGAAACGUCCUCUUGCCCACCUAGCCCUCUUUGGUUUAUCUUGCCUCCGGGUCUGUUUUCCUUCCGUCUGUCUCUGACGCUCUUCGGUUCGCCCUAAUAUAUUUAGCUGACUUUUUCCAGUGAAGAAUCCAGUGUCUGCCAAGUUGCCCCUAGAACAUGCCAGUUUCAGCCUCCCUUGUCCUUUCUCUCUCAUCCUCGCCCUCCCUCUCUGGCUUUCUUAUGACUUACUCCUUCAGAGUUGUUUCUCCUUCUCCCCAUGUGCCUCCCUGUCCGACUUCCCUUCCUUUUCUACAGGUGGUGAUUCUUUUUUUCUUUGAUUCUUCCUUCUAGCCUGUUAAGUGGAUUUACUCCCCCCACGUCCUAGUCUUGGCUGGGAAACCAGGAGCAAAAUCGUGUCCUGUAAACUCGUCCUACCCAGACAGUCUCGGGAAAUACUGUAAAAUAAUCGGAAUGUAAAUCACGUUGGCUAGAAUUAUUCCUAGACCAAGAAAGCUUCCGAUGAGGGACCCCUAGGCUAGGAGUCUUCCGGUCUGUGCCCAUGGAGGCCUGAGUGGUGGUUCCCCAAGUUUAGCAGCCUUCAGAAUCACCUGGAAGCCUUGUUACAACACAUACAGCUGGGCCCCACACCCAGCGUCUCUGAUUCAGUUAGUCUGGGGUGGGGCCUGAGGAUGUGCGUUUUUCACAGCUUCCCAGGUGAUGCUAACUGUGCUGGUCCAGGGGCCACGCUUUGAGAACCCCUGAAGUGGGAGCACCGACAGCGGUGUGGUGGUCAAGCCUCAGCUGUGUGUGAUAGCAGUUGGGCAGGGGGGGUCACAAGAGGGAAUGCAGUUUUGUUUCUUGUCACAUCGCAAAGGGGCUGGGAAGGGAUCCAGAGGAUGUGCUGGGGUGCAGUGUGGAGGGAGGACAAAAGGGGAAAGCUCUGUGUUGUAACCUUCUGGGAAACACCGAAGCCAGCUCCAAGCCCUGUCCUCCACCCUUCCUCCUGCGCUCAUGCAUGGAAGUGGCAGAAGGGAAUUCUCAGGGUCCUUUUGAUCUCUUCCCAGUUCCCAAGUCGUCUGUCUGUUUAUCUCCCUCCUUCCCUGGCCUCCUCUUCCCUCUUCUUACCCCCUGCCCAGCAGAUGAGUCACUCUCCGCCGUCCUCCCCACCCCACUGCCAUCUGUUUUUCUAAUGAUGGCAGAAGAUGAGCUGUUUUGUUGGCCCACUCUGUAACAAAGCACACUCCAUGCUAGCAUUUUUCCUGAUGCGCUCUCAGAACUCUAUUUUACUGGUGUCAUUUCCCCACCCAGUUUUCCCUUUGUCUCCAACCCCACCCUUUCCCCUUCUUUGGCCUCAUGGAGAUUCCAGUUUCCCAGAAUUCGAUCAAGAGGAACCGAGAUAGAGAAGAAUCAGUCGAGGGACUAACAGGCAUGUGGGCCGGGUGUGUGGGGCGGGGGGAGGGAGCUGCAAGUCAAUGGCAGUUAAACAGCUCCCUCCAGUGCACAAGGCACAGCCCGAAUUAGCCAAGCCUCGCUGCUAAGUGGCUUAAUGACUUCCAGUGAGAGAUUUGUAUGACAAAGCCUGUUGUGAUUGAGAUGAGAGUAUUUGUAUUUGUUACCAGCUAUUCCCAGGGUGAGAGGGCUUGAAUGGUGUGUGUGUGUGUGUGUGUGUGUGUGUGUGUAAUAUCCCCCAGCUCAGGAUGCCUGGGCCAUCCUCCCUCAGCUAGGCUCUGCCUCAACUUGACUCUUUCUUGCAACAACUCCUGUUAAUUUAGUUAAGGCCCUCACCGUCCCCUAAGUCCCCCACUGGGAGAGGAAUCGACCUUGUGAGUUUCUACCUUGGCUCCAUCAGCCAAAGGAGAAGUAAAUGACGAAGUAAAUGAAGGAGUAGAAAACUCCCAAGAGGGCGACUGAGCUGUUCAGGCCUGUACUUCCAGCUAAACUGAUCUUACGACUAACACGCUCCCUCCCUGCGCGUCGUUUCUUAGAAUAACUUAGCCUUUGACCCUAGAGGUCUUGAAAGAAGGUCGUGGAGUGAACCUCAAGAAAAUGGGCAGACCCUCCUGAAUUCCCCUAUCACAACAGCAGGUUCUUAUUGAGAUGAAAGGAAUGCAGCCCCUGCUCACACCUUGAUUGCUAUCACCCUCCUGUUCCCAUUUUCCUAUAAGACAGCGGGACCCUUCCCCCAAGGCAGGCUCACGGUCUUGAAGGCAUCAGCCUGCAGUGACUCCCUUUGCCUGGCAAAGGAAUAAAGCUGUUCUUUUCUAUCCUCCCAAAACUCUGCCUCCAACACUCAAUUCGGCGGUCGGGGUACAGGCGUUGGCUUUUCGGUAACAUAAACAGGAUUCCUUGAGGUAGUAAGGGUCUAGUUUGAGCUAAUCAACAACGGACGACAGGUCCUCCUCAGAGGUUGAAAACAGAUGCCCAAGUGAUGCAGGCAGCUGAUGUCCAUGAGAGAAGCCCAGGAGGCAAGAAGCUAAAGGUGUUGGUCUGUGCUGAACUGGUCCUCCGAGUUGUAGCUGCCACUCAGAGCCAGCUAAUUGUUGCCAUGGUUGCCUCAUAUUCUUGUUUCUCAAGAGAAAAAUCUUUGCACCGUGAGUUUCAUAUUUAUUUGGCAUAUGUGUCUAUGUGUAUGUGUAUAAUGUUACACAAACACAUAUGAAUGUUAUGUGAAAAUCCCAAUUUUUAAGCGUUAGCAACCAAAACAAGAUUGUUUUUAGACACUGCUGGCCCAACCCCUGCCCGUGGGCCAUUGAUCUACAAAAGUCUGAUCUAACUAAGCUAGAGAAUCCCAAAACCAUAAAUUAUUCUGACUUGCUUUUAACUUAUUUUUCAUUAAGUCAUUUAAAAUGGUACCCUGGAGACUUUGCUUAAAAAAAAAGAAGGCAAAAUCAGAAAUUCUAAUAUCUGUAAUUUUGGGAUUGCAGAGCUGAAGUUAAGAGAGUAAACAAAGGAUGUAGGAGAGGGGAAGGGGCAAGCUAUUGAACCAAAAGGACUCACGUCUCUGUAAGCUGAGCAGACCAGGCACGACUGGUCUGGGUCUGGGGACGGGGAGGUGGCUUACCUCACAGGACUGGAUGCAGUGGAUCAGGAGGGGGUCUGGGUGCCACUGACGCCGCCCAGUGCACACGAUGCUCUGAAGGGGAAGAUGGGAAGAACCGAAAACAAAAACAAGACACCUGGUCAGCGAGAGAAAAGGCAACUCCUGCACUUACCCCACCGGCCCAACCCCGUUCCCGGAGGAGCGAGCCUGGCCCUCGCCCCAGGAAGAGGGCCGGCCCACCAUCUGGUCUUUCCCGCGGAGCUGCUAAUCCUGCCCGUGGAGCCAAGGCAGCAACUCUCAGUGGAAGGAAUUUUCCAUCUUCUUCAUCCUCUUCACCCUCCUCAAGACAUCAAAAUGUCUAGAGUGGGGUAGGUAUGAUGAAAAAAAAAAACCAUCCCCAAUACCACAGUGACGUCAGCUUGGCUCUAGGCGUAAUACGGCUUCCAUUGGUUUUAAAAUUGUAAAUAACAUUACAAGAAAUUGUGAAAUGGCUGCAUUGAUCAGGAAACAUCAUGGAGUUUCAAAGGCUGAGAAACAGAGCUUCAUAAAAAGAGUCUUGAGCUGAAAAUGGAUCUCAGGAGUCCUGAUCACAAGAUGCAGGGACCAAGCAAGGAAUGGAGGCCGAUCUGCACUCUCUGCAGCUCUCGUGGGAAACAGCAGAGGGUCCGUGUGCGGGACAAACAGGCUAAUGCGAAACCACCAGGACCCAAAGGGGCACUGACACUAGGCCGGUGAGCUUGUGAAAACGUGUUCGGGUUAAAACACCAGAGACUCUCUCAUUCCCAACGUUUCUAGAUGUGCAUUCAAACAGUCCUCUGUUCUUUGUUGAAUAAGAAUAACUCAUUUUCAUUGAGUUCUUUUUUUCUUUUAACUUUCCUGUUUUAAAAUUUUCAAAAGAUACGUUUCAGAAAAAGAGAAAUUCCCAGAAGAGGUUUCAAAGAGAAAAGGAAAGGGAGAUUCUCUUUAUCACCUGCUACCAACCCACCCAUUUGCGGGCUUUCACACUCCCAUUUUAAAUUCGGUACAACAGAAGUUCAGGGCACUCCGAAGAAAAAUAAUGCACAGUGAGAGAUGCGUUUUAUAUGAAAUUGCACCCCCAGUAACUGAAAAGUAUACAUUCUAGAAUGCUAAGACUCUGCAAUAAUCAGGUUGGAGACAUUUGCAUAUAUUAACAUGUAGGUAUAUGAAAAUAUACCUCAAAGUCAGUUAUGAAAAUGGAAAUCUGCAGUAUUUUUCUGGAAUUAUGCUACUGUAAACUAAAAAUCCUCCUUCACAGCUUCCCUGAUGGGGAAAUAAAUACUAUAAACCCUAAAAAAAAUGUUGAUAUUCGAAAUUCUGCACUGUAAUAAUGUAGAAGGUGACUUUGCUUACUUUAUCUUUGCACUAAAAAUAAAUUAUUAAAUAUAUACAGUCAUCCCUUAGUAUCCACAGGGGAUUGGUUCCAGGACCCUCAAGGAUGCCAGAAUCCAAGGAUGCUCAAGUCCCUUACACAAAAUGAUGUAGUAUUGGUAUGUAACCUUCAGACACAUUCUUUCUCCUACAUGUUAAAUCAUCUAUAGAUUACUUAGAGUACCUUAUACAAU